rnacentral:rRNA from 1 species
AUAGCUUGCUAUCAAUGCUGACGAGCGGCGGACGGGUGAGUAAUGCCUGGGAAUAUGCCCUGAUGUGGGGGAUAACUAUUGGAAACGAUAGCUAAUACCGCAUAAUCUCUUCGGAGCAAAGAGGGGGACCUUCGGGCCUCUCGCGUCAGGAUUAGCCCAGGUGGGAUUAGCUUGUUGGUGGGGUAAUGGCUCACCAAGGCAACGAUCCCUAGCUGGUCUGAGAGGAUGAUCAGCCACACUGGAACUGAGACACGGUCCAGACUCCUACGGGAGGCAGCAGUGGGGAAUAUUGCACAAUGGGGGAAACCCUGAUGCAGCCAUGCCGCGUGUAUGAAGAAGGCCUUCGGGUUGUAAAGUACUUUCAGUUGUGAGGAAGGCGUUGAUGUUAAUAGCUUCAGCGUUUGACGUUAGCAACAGAAGAAGCACCGGCUAACUCCGUGCCAGCAGCCGCGGUAAUACGGAGGGUGCGAGCGUUAAUCGGAAUUACUGGGCGUAAAGCGCAUGCAGGUGGUCUGUUAAGCAAGAUGUGAAAGCCCGGGGCUC